rnacentral:rRNA from 1 species
CCCUUAGAUGUUCUGGGCCGCACACGCGCUACACUGAAGGAGGCAGCGUGUACUCCUGGAUCGAAAGAUUUGGGUAACCCGCGAAUCUCCUUCGUGCUAGGGAUUGAGGUUUGCAAUUAUCCUUCAUGAACGAGGAAUUCCCAGUAAGUACAAGUCAUAAGCUUGCGCUGACUACGUCCCUGCCCUUUGUACACACCGCCCGUCGCUACUACCGAUUGAAUGAUUUAGUGAGGACUUCGGACUGGGACCGAUGCGGCUUUCGGGCUGCGUCGGUAUUCUGGAAAGAUGUCCAAACUGUAUCAUUUAGAGGAAGUAAAAGUCGUANCA